rnacentral:lncRNA from 1 species
GGGGGGGGGGUCUCAGGCAGCAAUCCAUAGUUGAAUAUUAAUAUUUCUGCAGAAGUUAUGAAUAUACACAAUAUUGUUUAAAGAAAGGAAAAGAAAAAAGAAGACUGGGAAAAAUAGAUGUGAGUGGAAAGUGAUACAAGACAUUGACAGUGAAUUCAAGGGACCCUCAGAGUUUGAGAAUUUUCUGAUGUGGGUGCAUCACAGAGACCUCUCCCCUGAACUCUUCUUUCCACCCUUUCCUGUAGUUAUAAUGACUUUAGAAUGAAUAUGGAAUCACAAGCUGUG